rnacentral:rRNA from 1 species
UACGUAGGGUGCAAGCGUUAAUCGGAAUUACUGGGCGUAAAGCGUGCGCAGGCGGUUAUGUAAGACAGUUGUGAAAUCCCCGGGCUCAACCUGGGAACUGCAUCUGUGACUGCAUAGCUAGAGUACGGUAGAGGGGGAUGGAAUUCCGCGUGUAGCAGUGAAAUGCGUAGAUAUGCGGAGGAACACCGAUGGCGAAAGCGGCUUCCUGGUCCAGCAUCGACGUUCAGGCACGAAAGCGUGGGGAGCAAACAGG